rnacentral:rRNA from 1 species
UACAGAGGGGGCAAGCGUUGUUCGGAAUUACUGGGCGUAAAGGGCGCGUAGGCGGCCUGCUAAGUCGAACGUGAAAUCCCUGGGCUCAACCCAGGAACUGCGUCCGAUACUGGUUGGCUUGAAUCCGGGAGAGGGAUGCGGAAUUCCAGGUGUAGCGGUGAAAUGCGUAGAUAUCUGGAAGAACACCCGUGGCGAAGGCGGUCCUCUGGGACGGUACUGACGCUGAGACGCGAAAGCGUGGGGAGCGAACAGG